rnacentral:rRNA from 1 species
AGUGAACGCUGGCGGUAGGCCUAACACAUGCAAGUCGAACGGCAGCACAGUAAGAGCUUGCUCUUACGGGUGGCGAGUGGCGGACGGGUGAGGAAUACAUCGGACUCUACUUUUUCGUGGGGGAUAACGUAGGGAAACUUACGCUAAUACCGCAUACGACCUACGGGUGAAAGCAGGGGAUCUUCGGACCUUGCGCGAUUGAAUGAGCCGAUGUCGGAUUAGCUAGUUGGCGGGGUAAAGGCCCACCAAGGCGACGAUCCGUAGCUGGUCUGAGAGGAUGAUCAGCCACACUGGAACUGAGACACGGUCCAGACUCCUACGGGAGGCAGCAGUGGGGAAUAUUGGACAAUGGGCGCAAGCCUGAUCCAGCCAUACCGCGUGGGUGAAGAAGGCCUUCGGGUUGUAAAGCCCUUUUGUUGGGAAAGAAAAGCAGCAGGUUAACACCCCGCUGUUCUGACGGUACCCAAAGAAUAAGCACCGGCUAACUUCGUG